CGACAGUUUUCUCUUCACACACACACACAUAGAAAGAAAAAAAAGACUGCAGGAAAAAUAGGAGCAAAAUAAUGGAGAAGAAGAAAAUGAUGAGAGUGGCAGCUAUGGCUAUGAUGUUCAUCAUCCUUUUAUCGACCAACAUGGACACUAUUAGCGUCGCUGCUCAAGGUGUCAAUUGCUAUGACAAUUGUAACACCGGAUGCGCUGGGCUCCCAUCAAAGGAGUACCGGAAAUGUGAUAAGAAGUGCCACAAAAGGUGUGGAGAUGAUGACAAGAUUGAUGGAAACGUUGGUUGAAAGUGCUGAAAUGUACUAGCAAGCUAUCGAUGCUAUUAUUGUAGGGAUCAGUUCAACAAUAAUAGUUGUCUCUUUGAUAAUAUUUCUUCAUAGUUUGGAAAAAUAAACAUUACGUGUUGUACGUGUAUGUUUAAUAACUACUAUGACUUCUUACUUUAAUAGAUGCAUUGUAUGAUGAUGAAACUAUGUAAUAUUUGAAAUUAUAAUUGUAAGUUCAAUAAGCUAA